ensembl:lncRNA
AGUACGCAGCGGCAGCCGCGCGAAACUCGGAACAACAACAAAACACAGCGUGGAGAAGACGACUGCGAGCGAGACCUUUACAAACCAACUUAUCAAUCCACCGUGUGGAAACAUUUUGGCUUUUGCAAACGCCGAGGUGUUCUAAAUAAGUCGGUUGCUGUUUGUAGAAUAUGUAGAAGCCAAAUACAAAACCACGGAAACACGACGAAUCUUUCCGGCCAUCUACUAAGGCGCCGUGGGAUUAAACAACGCCGACAGUCAGGCACCUCUAGCAGCGUCUGCAGCAGCAGCAGUUUAUCACUUCCGCUCACAAAUCACGAUGCUCUGGAUGUUGCAAGUAGGAAAUAUGGAGGUCUUGUUCUUCACUGAAAGCAGGUAAACUUCAUCAUCCAAACCACUUUGCUGGGAUGGCCCUCUCCAUUUCAUGAUUCUUUUUCGCCCCGCCCUUGCAGAGCAAACAAAUGGAUGCAUCUCCAGCCAACGUGGCACCAAAGCUGAUCGCCUUUUAGAGCAGCAUACUACUUGUGUCGGACCUUAUUUACAACCAUUUGCAUUUUAAUUUAUUUAUUUUGCUUCACAAAGUUCUAACAAAUAAUUAAUAAUCAAUACAUGUCAAUAAAUUAGCUUUUUAUGUUCUUGCUGGUUCAUUUUGCACUUAUUUUGGUGCCGUGCUUCUCAAUCUGAUAAGUGUAGGGCACUAGAGGAAAGAGAGUAGUUUCAUAAAGUAAAUUUGUUUUUCUGUGUUCAUCUUCAACUCAAGGGAUUUCCUGUAUCUAAUGUGAAAUAAGCUGCCUUAAAUUGCUUUGUUUUGACACAAAAUGUAUUUGUACUAUCAGACAGUUCUUGAUUCUGUGUAUCCCACCAACCUCAAACGCAAUCUUUAUUGUUAAUUUACCCUCUAAGAGCAGCGUUUCUUUUCACCUCAGGCAGUUCCUACAGUUUCACUCAAUCAGCAGUUCAUCAUGAAGCUGGCUGAUCAUAACCAGGACUUAAUGAUUCAUGAAUAGAAAAACUAAUGGAGUACUUUACAUGUUGUAAUCAAAUGAAGUUGUUAUGGUGGAACUAGCUGCUUACUGGUGAUUUUGAUCAAAGAGGGAUAUGAUCUGAUGCAUAAGAUGCAGAGAUGGCAUCAAGCUUUUUUGCAUUAGCGUGUCUUUCAAAAAGGUGCAUGCUGAUACACAUUCACUUUCAGGACCCAAAGUCAGAAAACCGAUACGGUCUUUCAAAAAGAGAGGCAGUUUGCAAACAGAUUUUUUUGAAAGCACCAAAGGUUGUGACAUUGUAAUGCUUUAGUAACCCUCUUUGACACUCAAGGUGCAUUAUGGCAUUAAAUGGACUGCACUUGCUAAAAAAAAAGCAAUGUUAGCACGCAGUGAAUUAAUCUUAUUCCAGAGUAAAAAAAGCACCAUUUGCACAACCAAAAUAAUUUUAACUCCAUAUAUCAACACUCAUUGGCUUGCCUACUUAUUUAGAUUGAAAAGGUUGCUACAACAACCUCUGCUGUCUUGUUAUAUACUGCCCGCCUCUGAAAACAGUUUUUUUUGCAAAUUUGUUCUAACAUUAUUUCACUCUCUCUUUCUCACUGCUACAUGCUUCUCUGCUACAUCUCUUAGCCUUGGACACACAGAGGUGGGUGUGAGGUCAUUUUCAUUUUUUGGAAGGUCAAGACUAGGGCUGCAACUAACGAUUAUUUUCAUAAUCAAUUAAUCAAUCUAUUAUUUUUUCCGAUUAAUCGGAUAAAAAACAGCAUUGAUUGUCAUUUUAACUUUCCACCCUUUAUUGUAAAACAGACCUGCAAAUUCACAUUGAAAAAAGACUUCAGAAAGUCCACAAACAGGAUACUCAGAACUUGUUCUUCUACACUGAUGAACAGACGCACAUACUCAAACACUGACACUCAGAUACACUCCCAACACACCUCAUGUUCAUUUGAAGCUUAUUUAUUAAAUUAUUACCGUAUACACCACAUCUAAAUACAGCAAAAAAAAUA